CAUUAGCUGUCAGAAUUCAGUGACGGGGAGGAAGUGCUCACUGGGAUAAAAUGAGAGCUGGUGAUGAUGGAACUGCCUUACAGGUAGGAAGUAAACACAGGAUUUACAGCUCUAAAGAAGCCCCCGCCUUUCUCAUUACCAACAGUUUGGGGGCCAUGAGAGAAGACAUCACAAGAUGGAGCC